CCUACGGGUGACAGCAGUGAGGAAUAUUGGUCAAUGGACGAGAGUCUGAACCAGCCAAGUAGCGUGAAGGAUGACUGCCCUAUGGGUUGUAAACUUCUUUUAUAAAGGAAUAAAACGAGGCACGUGUGCCUUUUUUCAUGUACUUUCUGAAUAAGGCUCGGCUAACUCCGUGCCCGCAGCCGCGGGAAUACGGAGGAUCCGAUCGUUAUCCGGAUUUAUUGGGGUUAAAGGGAGCUGAGAUGGGAUGUUAAGUCAGUUGUGAAAGUUUGCGGCUCAACCGUAAAAUUGCAAUUGAUACUGGCAGUCUUGAGUACAGUUGAGGUAGGCGGAAUUCGUGGUGUAGCGGUGAAAUGCUUAGAUAUCACGAAGAACCCCGAUUGCGAAGGCAGCUUACUAAACUGUGACUGACAUUGAUGCUCGAAAGUGUGGGUAUCAAACAGGAUUAGAUACCCCUGUAGUC
rnacentral:rRNA from 1 species